ensembl:lncRNA
AGCAGAUCAGCUCACAGAGCAACAAAUGUGGCCCACACCCAUUCAAGGGAGAGAGAGAGAAAAAAAAACACAUUGCGCAUAGGUCUCCAACUUAACACUCCUGUCAACUUAACAUCAUAACAGUUGCACAAAUUCAUCACGGAAAGGGAGUUGAAAGAAAACGUAUUGCUUGACUUGGACUUGUAUUGACUGUUCAUCAUGGAGGCACCAACAACAGCAGGUACAAUAAGCCACUCGGCAUCGGAAGAGGCCUUCAGCCACAUGGUCAGUCACAUCAUAGAACUCUUCACACAGCCCUCCGUAGCUGAAGAUCUGACAACAACUUCUGCACAUAUGACUGAAACAAUCUCAGACACUUCUGUGGGAGUUCUGAGAACAACUUCUGCACAAAUGAUUGAAACAAUCUCAGACACUUCUGUGGGAGCUCUAACAACAACUUUUCUACAGAAGACUGAAACAAUUCCAGAUGCUUUUGUUGGAGUUCUGACAACAACUUCUGCACAUAUGACUGAAACAACCUCAGAUGCUUUUUUAGUGGGAGCCGCCAUCGUAAAAGGUGUAUCCUUUGAAGUCCUUUUCGUAGGAGUCAUUCUUGUGGUGGUACUGGUGGUGGUACUGGUACUGGUGCUGGUACUGUGUCACAACGGCAAGCAUAAGGGCACUUACCACACCAACGAGGCCGAGUGUGGUGAUUCUGAUUCUGUCGACACGUAUGGUGUUGCCUCUCAAAGCGAACUUGAGAUUUUGAAUGAGGAAGAAUAGAAAGAAGUACACUUCAUUUGAAACAGGACUUUUUCCGAUUCUAAACCGGGGCCAGUUGUCAACUCAAGAUGCCAAAUAUUUUCUACGGAAUUGGUAAUGCCUAUGAUGGUCAUCUAAUUUCAAGGCAACAUUUAUAUGGGGCAUACAACCAUCUCAGCUCUACAGAUUUUGCCACGAAGAGACAGAAUCGUUAGAUCACUUAUUUUUGUAUUGCCCAUAUAUACACUAUAUAUACAAAAUUAUGUGGACACCCAUUAGUGGAUUUGGCUAUUUCAGCCACAUUACAGCCUUAUUUCCCUCAUCAAUCAAUAUAAAGAAACACUUUAAUAAACAAUUAAUAUUCAUUACAUGUGACUAACUUCAAGCUUACAAUUAGUACAGUAGUUAAACCAAUAUCAGAUUGUUGAGGUUUCGAAAAGAUGUAAAAACUAGAGAAAUUUUACAAUCCUUUUUGUCUUCCUUUUAAAAAAAAUGUUUAUACUCAAAAGAUAGUACCUUGUUUGAAUUUCUAUUAUGAGGGUGUUGAGCGAGCUUAAUGCAUAAUAAUGUAUAGCAUUGCUGAAUGUAAUAUCUGUUUUCAAUUUUUUUCUAAAUUGACGUCCAGUAGUAAUCUGAGCUUGUAAAAUGAAAUCAAGGCACAGGCAUCUUUCCUAACGCCAAACUGGAUGUUUUGGUUUUUUUGGCCUGAAGGUACCAAUAACUGAGUAAAGGAAAUGUUACGGCAAGGACCAUAAGAACACACAAAAAUACUUUCAUGAAACUUGAGACAUUUCACCUAUGACAAUACUGGGAACAAAACAGUCAAAAAAAUGUAAAUUCCCCUUCUUCUAAUGCAAGUCUCUGUAACUAAUAUAUUACCAUGUGAUUAAAGAGAAGCGACCUUGUUUUGCCUGAUGAAAACAGUGUCUAAUUAGCAGUAAAACACUUGUUCCAGAGAGGAAGGACUUUUUGUAUCAACAAGGCAACAACAGGGAAGUUUCAAAAGGAAACUGAAGACAGCCGAAUCACACUGCCCCAGCUAGGUGGAAAGGCUUCCAUGUAGUUCAGAGAGGGCAUAUCAACAGGAACGGCCUGAUAAAUGCUCAAAGUAUUAACAUCCCAAAAUACUGUAUCUGUGACUAAAUGUGGUCCAGUUUCUGUUGACGAUAAUGCAUGUCUGUUGUUCUAUCAUGUGAAAGUCCCAUUCGAUUAGCGUUGCGUAUGUAUCAAGCUACACAUUUGAUAAAUUUGCACAGUCAUGGACUAAAUUGUUUUUUUUGUUUUUUCAAAUGAAGAGUUUACUUGUAUACCCAGUCGAAAAAUCGGAUUAUUCAACACAACAUCUGGGUUCAGAAAACCAAGAUAUAGGAGCAAAAGUCUGCACUUCAAUAGUAUGUGUUAAUGAGAUUUAGAAGCU